CCCCCUCCCCUCUGCUUCCGCCGGCAUCCCCCUCCCUUCCGCUGCAAGGCGGCCUCCGCCGGCAUCCUCCUCCCCCCUUCGACCGCCCCCUCCCUCCCCCGCCCUGCCUCCCCACCGGAUCUGGGGCCACACGGGCAGUCUGCCGGCGGAUCUGGGGGCGGCCGGCCUGGGGCGGCAAGCCACUGCCGGAUCUCGGGCCGGCCGGUCUCAGGCGCCGCCACCGGGCUCUUGGCCGAGAGAGUGAGAGAGAGAUGGUCGGGCAUAGAUGUCUAAGAUGGCGGAGGAGAAGGCGGCCGGGGCGGCGGACGCGGUGCAGCAGCAACAGCUGGUGGUGGGUGAGGCGGCGGCGGUGCGGGUGCAGCCCGUGGAGAAGCUGCUGCGCGUGGCGCCUCUGGGGUUGUACGUCGUCGCCAUGGCCGUCGCCUACUCCGACCUCGGCGGCUUCAAGUACCUCGUCUACGCUAACGGCCUCUGCGUAGCCUUCUAGCUCGUCAUGGCCUUCUACACUGCCGUGCCAAGGCCCGCCACCGUGUCGCGCUCCUAGGUCGUCUUCUUCCUCGACCAGAUCCAUCGUUGUUCUUGCCAUCCAUCUCUGCUCUGCCCUCACUUUUCACUUUUACACAUUCAGCUGGUAGCAGAAUGUUGAAAAUACUUUGAAGAAUGUCUUUUCUCUUCUUUUUUGCCAACAACACGUGGCGAUUUUUACAAGUAAAAUCAUGUUAGGAAAAGAAUUUUUUCUGUGCUGGGCAUAUACUUGCUGUUACGAGUUAGGACUUGCUAUAGUUAUAGUCAGUGCCUUUGAGUGCUAUACUUGCUAUAGUUAUAGAUCUUAGUCUAGUUAUAGUCAUUUUGGUCUUUGUGUGCUGUAGGAACUAUUAUGAUUAUUCUUUUUUAUUUGCCUUUCUUUUACUAGUUUCUAAAAUUUUUGUCAUGCAGCUUUGUGGUGGCGAGUGCAGACUUGUCACUGAGGUGAGCAGAGGUGGAGGAGAAGAGAGACAAAAUGAAUGUGUAUCUAACUGCUUGUUGCUAAAGUGAAUUUGUGUUAUUUUCAUGUGUUGAUUAUAUAUCAUUGGCUAGCUGUGGCUUGCAGAAAGAUGUGAGGAGGUGGAAGCUAGAGCCAAGGAGCUUGAGAAGCUGCACCUAGACUAAGGAAGGCCCCGAAGAAGGAAAGGCCCUGCACUGUUAAACUGAUAUUCUACAGAUUAGCUUGAGGUUUGCUAAAAGUACAAUCAGUGCAAUAUCUAUAACUUGGGUUGCUUGCUGGCUUAGCUCUGUUCUGCAGCAAGUUAAACUUGUCUCUGUUCAACUUUCUCUGAAUUGUUUGAUUUGGUUAGGUCAGUUAUGGUUAUCUACAUUUGUCAUACAUUUUUGUUGCUAUCAAUGCUUAUUGGCUAAGAUUUGUUUAUUAUCUG